GACGAACGCUGGCGGCGUGCCUAAUACAUGCAAGUCGAGCGAGACUCUUCGGAGUCUAGCGGCGGACGGGUGAGUAACACGUGGGCAACCUGCCUGUAAGACUGAGAUAACACCGGGAAACCGGUGCUAAUACCGGAUAAUCCUUUUCCUCUCAUGAAGAAAAGCUGAAAGUCGGUUUCGGCUGACACUUACAGAUGGGCCCGCGGCGCAUUAGCUAGUUGGUGAGGUAACGGCUCACCAAGGCGACGAUGCGUAGCCGACCUGAGAGGGUGAUCGGCCACACUGGGACUGAGACACGGCCCAGACUCUUACGGGAGGCAGCAGUAGGGAAUCGUCCGCAAUGGACGAAAGUCUGACGGAGCAACGCCGCGUGAGUGAAGAAGGUUUUCGGAUCGUAAAGCUCUGUUGCAAGGGAAGAACAAGUAGCGCAGUAACUGGCGCUACCUUGACGGUACCUUGUUAGAAAGCCACGGCUAACUACGUGCCAGCCGCCGCCGUAAGAC
rnacentral:rRNA from 1 species